rnacentral:tRNA from 1 species
CAAAUUAGAGCUUGAUUUAAAGCAUCUUAUUUACACUAAGAAGUUAGUUGUUAAAUUCAACUUGAUUUGA